AAUUAUUUUAUUUUUUAUAGAAAUUGAGGAUAGGAGGAAUCAAUUAAAAUCAAAUCUGGUAUGAAAAGAAAUCUUGUAAGUCAUAUCAUCCAGCCUUAUUCAGUAUAUUGAAUUAUACGACUAACUGCAUAUUACUUAAUAUUCAAAUUUCUUUGCACUUAAAAGUGGUGCAUUUUAAUAUCUCACUUGAAUUCCUGAUCUACAUGCAAAUACUUGAUAUAAUGUAAACACUGAGAAAAGGGGGGGGAAAGGUUUGUGAAAUGUAGAAUAAAUUUUACUGUGGGU